rnacentral:lncRNA from 1 species
UAGACUACACAUUUUUAGUAAAUCAUGCUGACCCGUGAUAGGCGGCACCUCGGUAAACAGUACUGGUCUGUGAUUGGCGGUACGUUUACGAUUUACGCUUUUUAGUAAAUCGUGUUGAUCCGUGAUAGAUGGCACCUCGAUAAAGAGUACUAGUCUGUGAUAGGCAGUAUGUUUACGAUUUACGCUUUUUAGUAAAUCGUGCUGACCCGUGAUAGGUGGCACCUCGGUAAAUAGUACCGAUCUGUGAUAGGCGGUACAAUUAUGAUUUACACCCCUUUGAUGAGGGUUUUAGUUGGAAUUCCGAAAUUCAUACAUUUUGGGCAUAUACGCAUUGCAUUAGGGUGCUUGGCACGCGAGUCAUGUUUGAUAUAAUGUGAUGAUUGCCUAUGUAUACUCAGUUGUUGUUGUGAUUGUGUCGUAAUUGGUAAGUGUGAUUGUUUUGGAUUUGUUUGUAAGUGUUGAUUGAUUGUGAAACCAUUUCAAAACUGAAUUCUGCAUUUUUCUGCAGUUGUAUUCGAAUACAAGGAGGUUGUAGUCGAAUACAGUUGUCCUGAUUUUGCUACUGACUUACAAAAUAACACUGUAUUCGAAUACAAGGAUGUUGUAUUCAAAUACGACAGUGUAGUUUUGUUAAAAACUUCAUUUUUAACUUUGAUUAUGCAUGUUUGGCAUAUAAAAACUCUUUCAAAGAUUAUGCUAAGUUGAAAGGUUAUUUUGUGCAUUUGAAAUUUAAAUGUUAUGUGGUAUUUGUUAAUUUCGGUUGGUGACCCUUUACAACUAUUGUGGAAAUUUGAGCUUUGCUCUCAAGUGAGAACCAGGAUCUUUCCACCGGUUAGUAUCCUGUAGAUGGGUAGGUAGUUGGACACACCUGACUGGAGCUGUGUCAGGAGGAUCUUGCGGGGCGAGUGGAGAUCACCCAGGUCUUUCUUUUGGAAUCUGUAUAGAUUUUGUAGUAUGAUCAGAUUAGACGGUUGUAUAGGGACUAGAGGUCUUUCUUUUGUGGAUGUAUUUACUAUAUGUUGGAAGAUUGUACUUAUACUAAUAUUGUCAACUUGACUUUUAUUUUGAUGGAUCCAUGUACCACUUUUUGAUGUGACGUGGGGGGGAGUUAAAAUUCUUGAGGCAAUGCUUUUGUACAAGUCUGCCGAGAAUACCCCAGGAGUAUGAGCUAUGUCUGAC